rnacentral:rRNA from 1 species
UGCAGUCGAGCGGAUGAAGGGAGCUUGCUCCUGGAUUCGGCGGCGGACGGGUGAGUAAUGCCUAGGAAUCUGCCUGGUAGUGGGGGAUAACGUCCGGAAACGGGCGCUAAUACCGCAUACGUCCUGAGGGAGAAAGUGGGGGAUCUUCGGACCUCACGCUAUCAGAUGAGCCUAGGUCGGAUUAACUAGUUGGGGGGGUAAAGGCCUACCAAGGCGACGAUCCGUAACUGGUCUGAGAGGAUGAUCAGUCACACUGGAACUGAGACACGGGCCAGACUCCUACGGGAGGCAGCAGUGGGGAAUAUUGGACAAUGGGCGAAAGCCUGAUCCAGCCAUGCCGCGUGUGUGAAGAAGGUCUUCGGAUUGUAAAGCACUUUAAGUUGGGAGGAAGGGCAGUAAGUUAAUACCUUGCUGUUUUGACGUUACCAACAGAAUAAGCACCGGCUAACUUCGUGCCAGCAGCCGCGGUAAUACGAAGGGUGCAAGCGUUAAUCGGAAUUACUGGGCGUAAAGCGCGCGUAGGUGGUUCAGCAAGUUGGAUGUGAAAUCCCCGGGCUCAACCUGGGAACUGCAUCCAAAACUACUGAGCUAGAGUACGGUAGAGGGUGGUGGAAUUUCCUGUGUAGCGUUGAAAUGCGUAGAUAUAGGAAGGAACACCAGUGGCGAAGGCGACCACCUGGACUGAUACUGACACUGAGGUGCGAAAGCGUGAGGGAGCAAACAGGAUUAGAUCACCCUGG